rnacentral:tRNA from 1 species
GCCGAAGUGGUGGAACUGGUAGACACGCUGUCUUGAGGGGGCAGUGGGAGAGAUCCCGUGGGGGUUCGAGUCCCCCCUUCGGCACUA